rnacentral:lncRNA from 12 species
AGUAUCAGUACCAGUAGUGGAGGUCUCAUACCAACAGCCAAAAACUUACCCUCUGCUUUUUGGCAGGUGGAGCUGCUGAUGUUCUCCAUGAGGUCAGGCAAUUUGUGGGGCUGGCCAGUCUUUGCAAGAAAAUACAGCUACUUCCCCUGGGAGGGUGAAGAAUGCAGCUACCACUGGAAAAAUACCUCAUCUUCUCCCAGGAUGAAGCCCUCAGUUCUGGCUACUCAUCAAAAUAUAUCCAUGAAACAUAGAAUGCCUUCAAAACAGGUAAUAAAAACAAUUUGGAGAAUGGCAAGAUUUCGCUAUGAUAAUAGAUAGAGGAGGUGAAGUCUGUAUUUAACUGAGAAGAUGAGUUACAGUGUGUAUGUUUUGCAGGAUGACAAAUAAUAGAGAGGAAUUUUCUGUGAGUCCUGUGAAGCUUCCUGAGUGCAGUAACAAGGAGGUGCUGAAAGAACAGGAAGGACAACGACCAAAAAAAUAAGAGAGAAGAGGAUACUUUUAUCUUUAUCACAAGUAACCUAUCAUCAGGAGAUUUGUGGACUUCAAGCCCAGCAAUCACUAACAAAGCUCAGUUGCUCUCCUUGAGGCAUUUAGAGUAACUGCAUGACCACAACGGAUGUUGUGACCAGCAGGUUUUUAUCAGGAUCCAUCCUAUUUGAAAACCCUGGAAAUUAUUAAACAGUGUGUUGGGUGAUUUGAAGACGGCUUAAAAAAUUUCCCUUCUCUUGAUAUUCAGAAGAAGCCAUGUGUUAGAGAGGCUUCAGAUACCAGUUCCACUUAGUUGUGACAAUGCAUAGGAGGUUUGAGGUUUUUUUAAUUAAUGAUUUCUCGCUUUUAGUGCAACACUCUGCUGAAAUGAGAGGAGGAUCAGCUUGGCAGAUGAUCCCUGAUAAUGGUUCUACUCACCUUCCUACAGAGGCUGAGACUGAUGGUGUACAGAGGAAGAUGCUAAUCUCUGGCACUUUACCAUCUUGAGAUGAAUAUAGAAUAUACUGCCUUGCUUCUAUCAUUAAAAGCGGUAUAUGCUGUAAGGGUAUACUUUAUGCUCUGGAAGAACAACAGUUUUAGAUUUAUCUCUAUAUAUUCUGGUCUUGCCCAUGCUGUACUGCUUGAAGCCAGAGCAUUAAAAACUUGACACUUGUCCAAAAAGCUGGUAAAGGUAUCCAACUCCCCUGCAUGAAGCAGACAAGGCAGAGUUACCAAGAACGCUUGGACUUGUGAGCCUGGGAAACUAGGGGAGCAGUAACAGCAAUGUAACCAGAAAGGAGUGAGAAUUGUGUGCCUUUGUUUAAAAAGGCUUGCUACUAACAGUAGCCUACUCCCAGCCAUCCCCAAAUUCACACCUAGUGGAAUUUACAAGUACUCCAGGUCUGGUC